CGGACGGGUGAGUAACGCGUGGGUAACCUGCCUCAUACAGGGGGAUAACAGUUAGAAAUGACUGCUAAUACCGCAUAAGACCACAGCACCGCAUGGUGCAGGGGUAAAAACUCCGGUGGUAUGAGAUGGACCCGCGUCUGAUUAGGUAGUUGGUGGGGUAACGGCCUACCAAGCCGACGAUCAGUAGCCGGUCUGAGAGGAUGAACGGCCACACUGGAACUGAGACACGGUCCAG
rnacentral:rRNA from 1 species